rnacentral:rRNA from 1 species
UAGAUACCCUGGUAGUCCACGCCGUAAACGAUGAGUGCUAGGUGUUAGAGGGUUUCCGCCCUUUAGUGCUGCAGCAAACGCAUUAAGCACUCCGCCUGGGGAGUACGACCGCAAGGUUGAAACUCAAAGGAAUUGACGGGGGCCCGCACAAGCGGUGGAGCAUGUGGUUUAAUUCGAUGCAACGCGAAGAACCUUACCUACUCUUGACAUCCGGAGAACUUAGCAGAGAUGCUUUGGUGCCUUCGGGAACUCUGAGACAGGUGCUGCAUGGCUGUCGUCAGCUCGUGUUGUGAAAUGUUGGGUUAAGUCCCGCAACGAGCGCAACCCUUAUCCUUUGUUGCCAGCGGUUCGGCCGGGAACUCAAAGGAGACUGCCAGUGAUAAACUGGAGGAAGGUGGGGAUGACGUCAAGUCAUCAUGGCCCUUACGAGUAGGGCUACACACGUGCUACAAUGGCGCAUACAAAGAGAAGCGACCUCGCGAGAGCAAGCGGACCUCAUAAAGUGCGUCGUAGUCCGGAUUGGAGUCUGCAACUCGACUCCAUGAAGUCGGAAUCGCUAGUAAUCGUAGAUCAGAAUGCUACGGUGAAUACGUUCCCGGGCCUUGUACACACCGCCCGUCAAGCCAUGGGAG